UGUUCCGAUGGCGUACGCGCUGUUCGCGUUCGGCGUCGCCACCGCCGCCGGGGCGAUCCUGCGGCGCAGCCUGCCCGCGUUCGGCGUCGCGUUCGGGGCGU
rnacentral:tRNA from 1 species